UACAGAGGGGGCAAGCGUUAUUCGGAAUUAUUGGGCGUAAAGGGCGCGUAGGCGGCUUUUCAAGUGGCGGGUGAAAUCCCUCGGCUUAACCGAGGAACUGCCUGCCAGACUGGAAGGCUCGAGACCGGGAGAGGUGAGUGGAAUUCUCAGUGUAGCGGUGAAAUGCGUAGAUAUUGGGAGGAACACCAGUGGCGAAGGCGGCUCACUGGACCGGAACUGACGCUGAGGCGCGAAAGCGUGGGGAGCAAACAGG
rnacentral:rRNA from 1 species